UACGUAGGCAGCAAGCGUUGUUCGGAGUUACUGGGCGUAAAGGGUGUGUAGGCGGUCUUCUAAGUUUGGUGUGAAAUCUCCCGGCUCAACUGGGAGGGUGCGCCGAAAACUGGGAGGCUAGAGUGCGGGAUGGGAGAGUGGAAUUCCUGGUGUGAGCGGUGAAAUGCGUAGAUAUCAGGAGGAACACCUGUGGUGUAGACGGCUCUCUGGACCGCAACUGACGCUGAGACACGAAAGCGUGGGUAGCAAACAGG
rnacentral:rRNA from 1 species